AGUGAACGCUGGCGGUAGGCCUAACACAUGCAAGUCGAACGGCAGCACAGUAAGAGCUUGCUCUUACGGGUGGCGAGUGGCGGACGGGUGAGGAAUACAUCGGCAUCUACUUUUUCGUGGGGGAUGACGUAGGGAAACUUACGCUAAUACCGCAUACGACCUACGGGUGAAAGCAGGGGAUCUUCGGACCUUGCGCGAUUGAAUGAGCCGAUGUCGGAUUAGCUAGUUGGCGGGGUAAAGGCCCACCAAGGCGACGAUCCGUAGCUGGUCUGAGAGGAUGAUCGGCCACACUGGAACUGAGACACGGUCCAGACUCCUACGGGAGGCAGCAGUGGGGAAUAUUGGGCAAUGGGCGCAAGCCUGAUCCAGCCAUACCGCGUGGGUGAAGAAGGCCUUCGGGUUGUAAAGCCCUUUUGUUGGGAAAGAAAAGCAGCAGGUUAAUACCCCGCUGUUCUGACGGUACCCAAAGAAUAAGCACCGGCUAACUUCGUG
rnacentral:rRNA from 1 species